rnacentral:misc_RNA from 1 species
AACGCAAAUUGCGCUCGAGACCUCCGGGUCGAGAGCAUGUCUGCCUCAGCGUCGCUCAUACCCAAUCGACUCCUCCCCAUUUACGGAGCCGAGUCGGACCUGGCUGUCCGGUUGCAUCGCCGGUCGGCUGAAAUGGAUGCUCCGCUCCUGACCCCCCUUCAAUGGGAAGGAGUCAACCGGUAAGCAUGGCCUUCUCUUGUUGGAGUUGGUUUGGCCUGCCGUUGAAUUCCGGUUGGAAGCCACAAGGAGCCACAGGAACUUUUUGAACAUCGACCUGAGAUCAGGCAAGGACACCCGCUGAACUUAA